rnacentral:tRNA from 1 species
GCGGACAUAGCUCAGUUGGGAGAGCGUCAGACUGAAGCGGAUUUGGAUCCGAGAAACUUCAUUCAAACUAUCUGAAGGUCGUGUGUUCAAUCCACACUGGCCGCA